GACGAACGCNGGCGGCGUGCUUAACACAUGCAAGUCGAACGAAGAGCGAUGGAAGCUUGCUUCUAUCAAUCUUAGUGGCGAACGGGUGAGUAACGCGUAAUCAACCUGCCCUUCAGAGGGGGACAACAGUUGGAAACGACUGCUAAUACCGCAUACGAUCUAAUCUCGGCAUCGAGGAUAGAUGAAAGGUGGCCUCUACAUGUAAGCUAUCACUGAAGGAGGGGAUUGCGUCUGAUUAGCUAGUUGGAGGGGUAACGGCCCACCAAGGCGAUGAUCAGUAGCCGGUCUGAGAGGAUGAACGGCCACAUUGGGACUGAGACACGGCCCAGACUCCUACGGGAGGCAGCAGUGGGGAAUCUUCCGCAAUGGACGAAAGUCUGACGGAGCAACGCCGCGUGAGUGAUGACGGCCUUCGGGUUGUAAAG
rnacentral:rRNA from 1 species